rnacentral:rRNA from 1 species
AUUGAACGCUGGCGGCAUGCUUUACACAUGCAAGUCGAACGGUAACAGGGAGCUUGCUCCGCUGACGAGUGGCGAACGGGUGAGUAAUAUAUCGGAACGUGCCCAAGAGUGGGGGAUAACGUAGCGAAAGUUACGCUAAUACCGCAUACGAUCCAAGGAUGAAAGCAGGGGACCUUCGGGCCUUGUGCUCCUGGAGCGGCCGAUAUCCGAUUAGCUAGUUGGUGAGGUAAAGGCUCACCAAGGCGACGAUCAGUAGCUGGUCUGAGAGGACGACCAGCCACGCUGGAACUGAGACACGGUCCAGACUCCUACGGGAGGCAGCAGUGGGGAAUUUUGGACAAUGGGGGCAACCCUGAUCCAGCAAUGCCGCGUGAGUGAAGAAGGCCUUCGGGUUGUAAAGCUCUUUUGUCAGGGAAGAAAAGGGUACGGCUAAUAUCCGUGCCUCAUGACGGUACCUGAAGAAUAAGCACCGGCUAACUACGUGCCAGCCGCCGCAGUAA